rnacentral:rRNA from 1 species
AGGACGAACGCUGGCGGCGUGCUUAACACAUGCAAGUCACGGGGGCCCGCAAGGGUAACCGGCGAACGGGUGCGUAACACGUGAGCAACCUGCCUAGAUGUGGGGGAUAGCCGGCCCAACGGCCGGGUAAUACCGCAUACGGUCACGAGGAGGAGUCUCCUUGUGAAGAAACCUCCGGGGCAUUUAGAGGGGCUCGCGGCCUAUCAGCUAGUUGGCGGGGUAAUGGCCCACCAAGGCUUCGACGGGUAGCUGGUCUGAGAGGAUGGCCAGCCACAUUGGGACUGAGAGACGGCCCAGACUCCUACGGGAGGCAGCAGUGGGAAUCUUGCGCAAUGGCCGAAAGGCUGACGCAGCGACGCCGCGUGUGGGAGGACGCCCCUUCGGGGUGUAAACCACUGUUGCCCGGGACGAACAUCCACUUUCGAGUGGACUGACGGUACCGGUGAGGAAGCACCGGCUAACUCCGCGCCAGCAGCCGC